UACGUAGGGUGCGAGCGUUGUCCGGAAUUACUGGGCGUAAAGAGCUCGUAGGUGGUUUGUCGCGUUGUUCGUGAAAACCGGGGGCUUAACCCUCGGCGUGCGGGCGAUACGGGCAGACUGGAGUACUGCAGGGGAGACUGGAAUUCCUGGUGUAGCGGUGGAAUGCGCAGAUAUCAGGAGGAACACCGGUGGCGAAGGCGGGUCUCUGGGCCGUAACUGACGCUGAGGAGCGAAAGCGUGGGGAGCGAACAGG
rnacentral:rRNA from 1 species